CAGCCGCCGCGGGAAUACGUAGGUGGCGAGCGUUGUCCGGAAUUAUUGGGCGUAAAGCGCGCGCAGGUGGUUUAAUAAGUCUGAUGUGAAAGCCCCCGGCUCAACCGGGGAGGGUCAUUGGAAACUGGGAAACUUGAGUGCAGAAGAGGAGAGUGGAAUUCCACGUGUAGCGGUGAAAUGCGUAGAGAUGUGGAGGAACACCAGUGGCGAAGGCGACUCUCUGAUCUGUAACUGACGCUGAGGAGCGAAAGCGUGGGGAGCAAACAGGAUUAGAUACCCCAGUAGUCCCUGUCUCUUAUAC
rnacentral:rRNA from 1 species